UACAGAGGUCUCAAGCGUUGUCCGGAAUUAUUGGGCGUAAAGAGCGUGUAGGCGGCUACUUAAGUCCUGCGUGAAAUCCUGCGGCUCAACCGCAGGCGGUCGUGGGAAACUGGGUGGCUAGAGUGCGGGAGAGGAGAGUGGAAUUCCUGGUGUAGCGGUGGAAUGCGCAGAUAUCAGGAAGAACACCCGUGGCGAAGGCGGCUCUCUGGAACGCAACUGACGCUGAGACGCGAAAGCGUGGGGAGCAAACCGG
rnacentral:rRNA from 1 species